AGCGGAGGAAAAGAAACCAACAGGGAUUGCCUUAGUAACGGCGAGUGAAGCGGCAAAAGCUCAAAUUUGAAAUCUGGCACCUUCGGUGUCCGAGUUGUAAUUUGAAGAAGGUAACUUUGGAGUUGGCUCUUGUCUAUGUUCCUUGGAACAGGACGUCACAGAGGGUGAGAAUCCCGUGCGAUGAGAUGCCCAAUUCUAUGUAAAGUGCUUUCGAAGAGUCGAGUUGUUUGGGAAUGCAGCUCUAAGUGGGUGGUAAAUUCCAUCUAAAGCUAAAUAUUGGCGAGAGACCGAUAGCGAACAAGUACAGUGAUGGAAAGAUGAAAAGAACUUUGAAAAGAGAGUGAAAAAGUACGUGAAAUUGUUGAAAGGGAAGGGCUUGAGAUCAGACUUGGUAUUUUGCGAUCCUUUCCUUCUUGGUUGGGUUCCUCGCAGCUUACUGGGCCAGCAUCGGUUUGGAUGGUAGGAUAAUGACUAAGGAAUGUGGCUCUACUUCGGUGGAGUGUUAUAGCCUUGGUUGAUACUGCCUGUCUAGACCGAGGACUGCGUCUUUUGACUAGGAUGUUGGCAUAAUGAUCUUAAGCCAC
rnacentral:rRNA from 1 species